CUAACCCCAAUAAACGCUGCAAUCUCUGGGUUCUUAUCUCCAAUCUAAGGUCAGAUUUGGUUGAUUUGUAAAGGUUUUAUUUUUUUAUUUUUUUGGGUAUAAGCUGAGGAAACUUAUGAAUAUUAUUUGAUUUAUUUCGUUUAAUAUCACCCUGAAUUUGAUUUACUUAGCUAGAUCGUUGUUCAUAGCUGCUUCUCCUUUAUUUUGUAUCACAAUUUACAUAAAAAUAAAAAACCGUAAUUAAGAUUUAAAUUCAGUAAUGAAGGCUUAGCUGCAAUCCUUUGGAGUGGUGAUUGCUACUUCUAUAUUGUUUCAUUUCUCAUAUUAGUUGUUAUACUUUUGUUCACUGGAUGAGUUUGAUGGUCGGGAAGUAGAUGUGGGUUAAAUUUAUUUUUGUUUUUGUUUUUUUUGAUAAAAAAAGUUUAGGGGCAGACUCACAACUUUGAGUCAGAAGAAUUUAUGCAUCAGUUAAUUUACAUGUUUAAUCAGUUGAGUUUUUGACUCUUAAUUUUAUUUUUCUUAGUUUUUUUGUGUCAAUUUUUUGCUUAAUUAUAUAUGUAAUUCUUAAUCAGUGUGACAAUGUUAUAUUUAUUCUAAUGGUCAACAGUAGAAGUAUGAAUGCAAAUAAAAUUAUCUGGAAAAAAAAAACUCUUUUAAAAAGAAAUAAAACAAAUUAUUUAUUAAUAAACAAAAGAAAUUGAAUAAAAUAGAAGAGAGACUACGCUAAAAAAUACACUUUGAGAGGGUGACCCCAACCGAAACCCCUGGGGAUAGACAGACAAAAGCUCCACCGACCUCUGCAGCAGAGAUAUAAAGAGCUUGGAAUCGUUGUUCUUCUGGGCGUGUAAUUGUGUUUGUUCCUUGUACUGAACGGUUCAGAAUUUUUGAGGGUUUUGAUACGAGAU